ACGAGUGGCGGACGGGUGAGUAAUGCUUGGGAAUCUGGCUUAUGAGGGGGAGUAACUACGGGAAACUGUAGCUAAUACCGCGUAAAAUCUUCGGAUUAAAGGGUGGGACUUUCGGGCCACCUGCCAUAAGAUGAGCCCAAGUGGGAUUAGGUAGUUGGUUAGGUAAAGGCUGACCAAGCCGACGAUCUCUAGCUGGUCUGAGAGGAUGACCAGCCACACUGGAACUGAGACACGGUCCAG
rnacentral:rRNA from 1 species